rnacentral:tRNA from 1 species
GCCUGAAUGGCGGAAUUGGUAGACGCGCUGGUCUCAAAAACCAGUGGGCUUUUGCCCGUGUCGGUUCGAAUCCGACUUCAGGCA